UCAGGAGUCCCCGCCACACUGAAAACCCCUAAUCCUAAUCAAGGAAACCAAGUUUCAAGGGAUGUGGGGAGCUGGAGACAGGACAGCCCCUGUCUGCCUCAAAGGAUCAUGGAAAAGUAGAGCCUCUCCAGGCACUGUCAUCUCUCUGGAGUGCUGCAAGGAAGUUGUCGUUGUUUUUGUAUUAAAUAUAGGGCUUUAACCUACUCUGGACAUACAAAGUACCUAAUGGAGACUGUGAUGGGUGGUGACAGGAAACAUCUGGUCCCUGAGAAUGAUGAAAAGACCAUAUUUUUUCAUGAAGCCAGGGGAGGAGCGGCC
rnacentral:lncRNA from 1 species